rnacentral:sRNA from 1 species
CUGCUAAGCUAUCGCCGCUGCCAACCUAUCUAUUGCUGCAAGCUAUCCCUCACUGCUAAGCUAUCCCUCGCUGCUAAGCUAUCCCUCACUGCCAAGCUAUCCCUCGCUACUAAGCUAUCUAUCACUGCUAAUCUAUCGCUGCCAACCUAUCUAUCACUGCCAAUCUAUCUAUCGCUGCUAAUCUAUCGCUGCUAAUCUAUCGCUGCCAACCUAUCUAUCGCUGCCAAUUUAUCUACCACUGCCAAUCUAUCUAUCGCUGCUAAUCUAUCGCUGCUGUCAAUCUAUCUAUCGCUGCUUAUCUAUCUAUUGCUGCUAAUCUAUCACUGCUAAUAUAUUGCUGCUGCCAAUCUAUCUAUCACUGCUAAUCUAUCACUGCUAAUCUAUCGCUGCUGCCAAUCUAUCGCUGCUAAUUUAUUGCUGCUGCCAAUCUAUCGCUGCUAAUCUAUCGCUGCUAAUCCAUCACUGCUAAUCUAUCGCUGCCAACCUAUCUACCGCGGCGAAUCUAUCUAUUGCUGCCAACCAACCUACCUACCACUGCCAACCUAUCUAUCGCUGCCAAUCUAUCGCUGCUAAUCUAUCGCUGCCAAUCUAUCACUGCCAACCUAUCUACUGCAGUGAAUCUAUCUAUCACUAUCAUUACUAGUUCAAAAUAGAACUAGAGCAUAAAUACACUAAACUUCUUUUGAUAGGUAAUGAUUUUUGGUAACACUCAUAGCAUUAUAUCAUCUAUAUAGGGUAAAUCAUGGUCCCAUUUGGUCCCAUUUUGUAAAAUGGGACCAAAUGAGACCAGAAUCAGUAAUUUAUAAGAAGAACAUGACCUGGGACUAGAUUUAUAAUAUAAACAGUGUAAAGUGACUAAUUUAAUAAACACUAUAUGGGACCAGGACUAAGAAAUUUGAUAAUGGGACUGGAGAAAUAUUUAGUCCCAGUCCCAUGCAUGGUCACACAGCC